AGUGAACGCUGGCGGUAGGCCUAACACAUGCAAGUCGAACGGCAGCACAGUAAGAGCUUGCUCUUACGGGUGGCGAGUGGCGGACGGGUGAGGAAUACAUCGGAAUCUACUUUUUCGUGGGGGAUAACGAAGGGAAACUUACGCUAAUACCGCAUCCGACCUCCGGGUGAAAGCAGGGGAUCUUCGGCCCUUGCGCGUUGGAAUGAGCCGUUUUCGGAUUUGCUAGUUGGCGGGGUAAAGGCCCACCAAGGCGACGAUCCGUACCUGGUCUGGGAGGAUGAUCAGCCACAGUGGAACUGAGACACGGUCCAGACUCCUACGGGAGGCAGCAGUGGGGAAUAUUGGACGAUGGGGGCAAGACUGAUCCAGCGAUACAGCGUGGGUGAAGAAGGGCUGCGGGUUGUAAAGCGCUUUUGUUGGGAAAGAAAAGCAGCAGGUUAAUACACCGCUGUUCUGACGGUACCGAAAGAAUAAGCACCGGCUAACUUCGUG
rnacentral:rRNA from 1 species